rnacentral:sRNA from 1 species
AGCCCGAGGGCGGCGCAAGGCCUGAGGCCCAGCACAGUGAUGUCUGAGCUCAGCGAUGAAGCCAGCGAGCCGGAACUCCUGAACCGCAGCUUGUCCAUGUGGCACGGGCUCGGGGCACAGGUCAGCCGGGAGGAGCUGGAUGUCCCCCUGGAUCUUCACACAGCUGCUUCCAUCGGCCAGUAUGAAGUGGUGAAGGAGUGUGUGCAGCGGGAGCCGAUAUAUGGAUUUACUCCUUUGAUGGAAGCAGCUGCGGCUGGCCAUGAGAUAAUCGUGCAGUAUUUUCUGAAUCACGGAGGCAGUCAGAAACCAGCAUAUGCCCUUCUCUCGUCCCAGCCAGCAGCCCAGGAAGGGCAGGUGCUUUGAAGGAGAGCCCCUAACCCCCUUUCACGGGCAUUCGCAGGGAGUCAAGCUGGACGCGACAGACCACCGUGGAGCCACAGCCCGGAUGCUGGCCAAGCAGUACGGACACAUGAAGAUCGUGGCCUUGAUGGACACUCACUCGCCCUCUCUGCCCAAGAGCCUCUAUCGGAGCCCAGGUACCCACACCUGCCUGCCACGCCCUGCUGGGGUC